UGGAUCUCACGCGCGCGUGCCUGUAAAAGAGCGGUGCCUCCUUUCUUUUCCCAAAUCCGCGUCUCCCUCCCCUCCUCCAAAUCAAUCUUCCCAAAAAAUUGCUGCUUCUACGAGAAGGAGCUGGUCAAGGUCACACGGAGCCACUCGCAGGGUUGGGCGAGUCGGCGGCGGUGGCGGCGGCGCCACCAGACUCAUCCCCGGCGUUCUCAGCGGCGACAUCGUGGUCACGGUCGCCGGCAUGAAUCUCGCCGAGGAGACACACCCACCGUCGCGCUCAUCCGCAUCGAUGCCACCCUCGAGCGCACAACUUCACCAUGUCUACCGGGGUGCACAAGAUCCACGGCCUCUGCUUCAUCAGCGGCGGCAACAAGGACAGGAACUCCCGAGAUCGAGGUCCAGGCUGAUUCUCAUGCGACAGGAUAGUUUUGCCACUUCUAUUGCGUAAAGGUGCACCGGUGACUCCCAUACUGAUGGAAGCUUGCAAACAACCAUGGCGAUAAUUUGCUUUUGUCGUGGUCUUAGUCGAUGAUGCAUUGUAUAGAGUUGUGUGUGUUUUCUAGGUGGCUACAUGGAAGAAGCUAGCACAUGUAACAAAUGGAUCUUGAAUUCUUGAUGUAUAAUUUCAGUUGAAUAAAAUCAUUUUUUUCAUUGUUA